rnacentral:rRNA from 1 species
AAUUUUGGUCAAUGGGGGAAACCCUGUUCUAGCCAUCCCUCUAGCUUGAUGAAGGCCUUCGGUUUGUAAAGUACUUUUGGCAGAGAAGAAAAGAUAUCCCCUAAUACGGGAUACUGCUGACGGUAUCUGCAGAAUAAGCACCGGCUAACUAUGUGCCAGCAGCCGCGGUAAUACGUAGGGUGCAAGCGUUAAACGGAAUUACUGGGCGUAAAGCGUGUGUAGGCGGUUCGGAAAGAAAGAUGUGAAAUGCCAGGGCUCAACCUUGGAACUGCAUUUUUAACUGCCGAGCUAGAGUAUGUCAGAGGAGAGUAGAAUUCCACGUGUAGCAGUGAAAUGCGUAGAUAUGUGGAGGAAUACCGAUGGCGAAGGCAGCCCCCUGGGAUAAUACUGACGCUCAGACACGAAAGCGUGGGGAGCAAACAGG